rnacentral:lncRNA from 12 species
CCUCCGGACACCGCUUUGAAAAGAACAUGUCGCUGACCGAGGCCACUGGGUUUCCUGCCACAUUUGGAUGUCUGUCGGGCUGUGCAGACCAACAUGGCAGGGAUACACACUGCAGAGGGAAGUCAAGUUUGGUUUCAGCAUGAACUGAUUAGAUCCUUGACAUUUUCCAGGCUACUCCUUCUGUUGGCCUGGCACCCACAGGCUGAGUGUGAGAACACUUGCAAAAAGCAGAAGAACAAAACAGAAAAGUCUGCAACGAUGUGCACCUUUCAUAUUUCGGUGUGUCUCCACUCCUGGCUAUUACAGGAGGAAGAGCUUGGGGUCGAUGGCACGGUGCCCACCUUGACCCCUUUCCAAGCCCGUCCUAUAUCUGCUCACACUUGGCAAUGAUGCCCACAAUAAAUCCUAGGGAAAGCUCUAUAUGUGACCCAGCUUGACACAAUCUCAUCAGCACAGGACUUGCUGACCUGCUCCGGCUCUUUCCCUUUCUUCUGUAUCACCACUGACAAACGUGGACUCAUAUGAGGGGGGCUUCCCCUAACAACUCACAGCAAGCUGAGCAUAAGAGGGAUGCCACAGUGACUGGAUUGUGUUUGUAAGGUUAGUUCCUGAACUGGUUUUCAGUCUUUCCUUGUUCACUGCUAUACUGAUGGUGUCCUUACCAUCUUUGCUGCCUAGUCAUCCCAUCCUGGGAAAACUCCUAUCAACUAAUUUGGUCCUCAACACACCAGCUCUGCAUCUCAGACUUGGACUAACAUUCUCUCUUGUGAGCUAGUUUGAUGGUCUUUUGCACUGAGCUACUGAGCAUCCUUUGUUAGGGAGAAGCUAUUCUUCUCUUCUCUUCUCUUCUCUUCUCUUCUCUACUCUUCUCUACUCUUCUCUUCUCUUCUCUUCUCUU